CGGCGCGUCUUAAGCAUGCAAGUCGAGCGGUAAGAUUGGUGCUUGCACUAAUCCUAGAGCGGCGGACUGGUGAGUAACGCGUGGGUGACGUACCUCUGUGACGGGGACAGCUCCUAGAAAUAGGAGAUAAUACCGGAUACGCUGCAUGUUGUCAGAGGACAUGCAGGAAAGGAUCUUUUGAUUCGCACAGAGAGCGGCCCGCGUACUAUUAGCUAGUUGGUGAGGUAACGGCCCACCAAGGCGACGAUAGUUACCCGGCCUAAGAGGGUGAUCGGGCACAUUGGGACUGAGAUACGGCCCAGACUCCUACGGGAGGCAGCAGCUAAGAAUAUUCCGCAAUGGACGAAAGUCUGACGGAGCGACGCCGCGUGGAUGAUGAAGGCCGGAAGGUUGUAAAAUCCUUUUAUGACUGAGGAAUAAGUGAAGUGAGAGAAACGCUUCAUGGUGACUGUAGGUCAUGAAUAAGCAACGGCUAAUUACGUGCC
rnacentral:rRNA from 1 species